CAUGCAGAGUCUGGAUUCUCCAAAAAGGUGCCAUCGCAAUUCAGCUUUGCCCAACCAAACUAGAGGAGCCCAGUGAAGCGUAAUGGCAUAAAACUCAAGCAGCGUAAAUGCGGUACUAUUCAAAUUGUUUCAAGGUUUAUUUUGUCAUCUAGUGAAAAAACAAAUGGAGAAAAGACAAGACAGGUUGCGGUACUAUUCAAAUUGGCAGUGUGAUAUUAUACACAGGAAAAAUCCCUCGACCAGCUCAUAAUUAUUUUAAGUUUUUUUAAUUUUACAAAUUUUCACAAAUUUGAUAUAUAUCAACCUUACUUGUAAAAUUUUUAAAAUCUAUUGACACUUGUAUUUCCCUUAACUAAAUGAUAGUUUAUUUUUAUUGAAACGAAGCGGAAAUUUAAUUUAAGCCAAAAUAAAAAUCUUAUGAAGUCA
rnacentral:lncRNA from 1 species